UUGAUUUGAGGAAUGUUAAGGCAUGAGUUAAGUUUUUGAGUUUUGUUUGAGUUUGCUGAAAUUAGAAAUCAAAGGGGUGGAUUUUGGGUGUGAUUGUGUUUUGAUCUUGAUAUUUGUGUUUAUGGGUUGUUAGAUGGUUCAUUUGAGGUUUCAAUUCAGUUUUGGGGUUGAGAUAUGUGUUUGGGCUGGUUUAGAGGUGUUUUGGAUGAGGGAAUUGAAGGAGAAAAACCCAGAAAAUCUGGGUUCGCGGAGGAGCGCCGCCGCCCUGUUCUUGGGCACCGCGGCGCGAGGUUGUUUCCAGUCAGGGGAACUUUCUGACUUCUCUGGGCGCCGCGGCGCUACGCCUUUUCCAGGAUAUGAAAAUUUACAAUUUUGAGCUUUUGCUCCGGGGGUUCGGGGGAUGUUUCCGAUGAAUUGUUUUAGGAAUUUGGGAGUCCCGAGAGUGUGGGAUUGGUCCCGGGAAGUGGUUUUUGAAUUGAUUAGUAUUAAAGGAUGUUUUAUACGUGUUGUGACUAGGUCUUUGGGAAGCUCGGGUUAGAGGACCGUGCUCGCGGCUUUAGUGCAUCAGGAAGCUCGAAAUACAGGUAAGAAAACUGUAGCACCCGAGAAUAGGGCAUGGGCCCAUAGUGUUAUUACAGGGCGUGGCCCUAGAUUGUAUUAUGUGCUAAUGUAUAACCUUAAAUGAAUUAUUAUGUGUUUGAAUGAUUAUUUCGAAAUGUAUUAUAUGUGUGAUUAUAGUACAAUGAACGGCUAAGGCCGAGAGCGGCAAGGCUGAGAACGGCGAUGGAGCCGAGAACGGCGAAAGGCCGAGAACGGCAGUGAGGCCGGAAGUAACACUUAGCACAUGGGAUGCUUAUAGUCAGGGUAGGACCCAAUGGAUACAUGAGAUAUCCUUACGGUGAGAACCGAGACCCCAGGCUUUGGUAAGGCUUCUGGGGCAGCAUGGCCGUGCUUGCUUAGUCUGAUGGAUGAUCUGUUUAUCUGUGGACUAUCUGAUAUGUUAACUGUAUAAUUUUCAUAUGUUAUGAACUGUAUGAGUUUUCUUGCUGGGCUUCGGCUCACGGGUGCUCUGUGUUGCAGGAAAGGGCAAGGGUUGAGUCAACCAGCCAUGAGUACGGAGAGCAUGAAGCGACGCGUACAUGUUUGGCCUGCCCGACUGCUUUGGUUGGGGGUUUAUUCGAGAAAUGGCUGUAAUAAUCUAUGAUUUUUAUAACUAAUCAACUGUAAGCUUAUUUUAAGAUGUAAAUAGUUUUCAAACCUUAUUUUGGGAUCCCAAAUGUUUAAUACUAUAAGUUUUUAAUGAAACAACGCAUUUUCAAAGAUUACAGCCUUAACUUUUACUUAAUCACACUUUGGUUCUAAAAACCUCGGUUAGCGAGUUCCUUGCACAAAGUUUCUUUUAAAACUCACUUAGUAACGACUCUAAGGGAGUAGGGCGUUACAGAAUGGAGGAGAGGUGGACAAUGAAAGAGCGAAGUCAAAACCUUUUGGGUCGAUUACUUCUUCUGAUUGGGCAAUUCUAUGCGAUUUUUGGGCUUCUGAUUCUCAGCAGCGUAUAUCGAAGAAAAAUAAAGAAGCUCGAGCAAAAAUGACCAUACCAGAACGACACGGUUCCAAAUCCAUCGUUGCCCAUGUUUAUGAUCACAUGGACCCAUCUACUGGCGAGCUCCCGAGCAUGAUCGACACAUUCGAGCACCUCCACAAGAAGAAGGAUAAGUGGAUUAGUGAUGUAGCAGCGACAAAACAUACUGAGAUGACCGAGCGUCGAGCAUCGUAGAGUACGGCCCCUGUAUCAUCUGCUGCUUCUUGUGUCGGCGAUAAUGUCGACGGUCAGUUCCCGCCUGAUAUGGAUAUUGUCACGGUCGUCCUUGGACCCCGCUCGCGUUAUAAGAAAGGGUUUGGGGGGUUGCCUAGGUUGAAGGCAAUUGGCGCAAAGAGGGCAGCAUCUUCGUCAACUUCUCAAAUGUCCGGGCAAUUGCCACCUGAAGUGGACACCAUUUUGCAGCAAAAUUAGGACAUUAUGCUAGAAAAUCUGAACCUAAAAAAGCAUACGACUAAACUUGAGAGUCGUCAACGGCGCAAGAUCUCCUGCUCAGUGCUUUGUUGAAGCAGGUUGGUGAAAUGGCUCCUGGUUUUACUGUUGACUUACCAGAACAGGAUUCGGACGAUGACGAUGAUGCUGACG